CUCCCUCCCAGAAGGCCUCGGGGCAGAGCGGUCCCACCCCCUGCGCCUAGAACGGAGCCCGCGUUUCCGUAGAGCUUGAACUCCGAGCUUGAACUGCCGGCUCGGGGUCUCUUCCCUCCGCCGUCACGGAACUGCCCCGGAGGCCGCGGGGAGGGCGGCCUCACUGAGGCUACCAGCUCUGGAGGGGCCCCGGCGGCCGAAGCCACGACAGUCGUGGGGACGGCGGGACGGGUACAGAAUUCUAGUAAGGAGACUACACCCUCAGUGUCCAGCUGUUUGAGUCCUCAGUGUGCUUCAAAUGAUGGAGAGUUAUUGCUUCUUUAUGAGAAGAGUUAGUACCUCGUAGUACGUGGGCCUCUCACUGUAGUGACCUCUCCCGUUGCGGAGCACAGGCUCUGGACGCACAGGCUCAGUGGCCAUGGCUCACGGGCCCAGCCACUCUGCGGCAUGUGGGAUCUUCCCGGACCGGGGCACGAACCUGUGUCCCCUGCAUUGGCAGGCGGACUCUCAAUCACUGCGCCACCAGGGGAGCCCUGAUCACUCAUCCUGGGGUAAGCCAGCUGCCAUGUCAUGAGGACACUCAAGCAGCCCUAAGGAGAGAUCCAUGUGGCAAGGAACUGAGGCCUCUUACCUACAGCCACGUGACAGCAGUGAAUGAGAUUCAAGGAUUAUAUACAUUCUCGUCAAACCUGAUAAUACCUGUCAUUUUCAUUUGAACUUUCUGGUUGGUAAGUGAUAAUUAAAUGUAUCACUUUUUUUGCAUUUAAUUGACUACUAAGAAGCCAAGCAUCUUUUGAUAUGUUUACUUAACAUUCUGUACUCUCUUUUUGGAAAUACCUUUUGGUAUAUUUUCCCCAUAUUUGCUAUUACAUUAUCUUCUUAUUGAAGACUUCUUUUUUUUUAAUAUCUGAAGACUUCUUAUUGAGGAGUUUUUAAUAUAUGCUUGCUAUGAGUUCUCUC